rnacentral:rRNA from 1 species
UCGGGAAGCAAGUCUUUUCGGUGAUGCAGCUAACGCAUUAAACAUUCCGCCUGGGGAGUACGGUCGCAAGAUUAGAACUCAAAGGAAUAGACGGGGACCCGCACAAGUGGUGGAGCAUGUGGUUUAAUUCGAAGAUACGCGAAGAACCUUACCUGGCCUUGACAUCCCAAGAACCCUGUAGAGAUACGGGGGUGCCCUUCGGGGAACUUGGUGACAGGUGCUGCACGGCUGUCGUCAGCUCGUGUCGUGAGAUGUUGGGUUAAGUCCCGCAACGAGCGCAACCCUCGUGUUUAGUUGCUAACAGUUCGGCUGAGCACUCUAGACAGACUGCCUCCGCAAGGAGGAGGAAGGUGAGGACGACGUCAAGUCAUCAUGGUCCUUACGGCCAGGGCGACACACGUGCUACAAUGGGUAGGACAAUGAGACGCGAUACCGCGAGGUGGAGCAAAUCUAUAAACCUACUCUCAGUUCGGAUAGCAGUCUGCAACUCGACUGCUUGAAGCUGGAAUCACUAGUAAUCGUAGAUCAGCCAUGCUACGGUGAAUACGUUCCCGGGUCUUGUACUCACCGCCCGUCACACCAUGGGAGUUGAGUUCACCCGAAGCGGGGAAGCUAAAUUGGCUACCUGCCACGGUGGGCUCAGCGACUGGGGUGAAGUCGUAACAAGGUA